GUUCACCCCAUGAUGUACAAGCACACAUAUAGUGGAGGUCAUGGUUCUCUAUGAAUUUUGAAAUGGGCACGUUACCAGACAGCAAAGCUUCAAAGGCUUCUCCAUAGUGCAAUAUGAAGACAAGAUCCAUGGGUGUGAAGAAUUCCACUAAGAAAACUAUUAGAAGGAAUCACAAAUAAGUGGCAAAAAAGAAGGUGGAACUCUCGGAGUCCAGGAUCUGGCAUAUCUUCUUGCAACAGCCAACUUUAUGGGAUCUCCAAGCUCCCAUUUAGAUCUGUGGUACUCUAACUUCUUACAAUCCCUGAUUUUACUGCUUUCUUUAUUAAUAACAGGUGAAUAUAUACACUUUUGUGCAUUCCUUACUCUAUUGCUUUCUUUGUUGCAAUUCCUUUUGUUUCGGUCUUCUUCCUUUCUUUUUAGAGUUGGCAUUUGAUUGAUGGGUUAUUGCGUUUAUUUUUUAUUUUUAUUUUUUUAAUAGUGGUUUUAUAUUGUUUUAAUUUGAGAGUGACAUUACUAUUAUAUUUUUCAAUAUAUUUUUUAAGCAUAUUUUAAAAUCUUGAUUUUCAUUUCAUAUAACUUCUCUAUAAUCUUAUUUUACCAAUACAUUAUAGACUAAGAUUCUUAAUACCCCUCCUUUUGAAACUCCAUUUUUCUUUUGUUAUCUUUUUCUUAGGCUUUAGUAUGAGAUUGGGUUCUAUGUUGAUAUGUAGUAUUUCGAGCACAUCGCUUGAUAGUAAAUUUGAUGAUGUUGAUAAGUUCCUUUCUGCAUUCACAUGGAUUGAUGAGAAUGAACAUUAAACCUAUAUCUACAUUAAUUUGAAUAAACAAGUAACUGAGUAAGUUUCCAUAAGAUUCCUUAGUGGUGUCACUUUGUGUAUGUUCUAUUAUGUUGUCAUUAAUUAUUCAUUUUAAUUAUGCCUGUCUAAAUAUUUUAUAUCUGAUUUGGUUAGUAAGCAUGGUUCCAAGACUUUAAAUGUCCUCAUGAAGGAACCGUAGAUCAUUCUAGAUUAUCAAAGGGAAAAAAAGAAGAAAAAUUGCUUUCUUUAGUGUGCAUGCAAGAAAUCUUUUGAUAUCUCAUUCAUACAUAAACAAGAUCCUACUUU